CCCAUUCUGUGAUACUAUGCCUUUGCAAACUCAAUCUCCCAAGGGACUCUGCAAGCUAGUCAUGUGACAUACUUCUGACCAAUGAGAGGCCAGCAGAAGUCUUUGUGAGAGGCUGCCAGGAUUUACCGGUUCCAGUCUCUUUUGCUUUCUGUUUUCUCUUUCUUCCUGUCUGGAAUGUAGCUGUAGUGCCUGAAAGGGCUGCGGCUAUUUUGCAAACCUGGGGUGGAAGUUACCUGUUUCUGAUGGCAGAGAGGUGCUAGAAGGUGCCAGGGUCCGUGCAAGUCCGAAUCAUCAUGCCAGCCUUCUCCGGAUUCUGGCCACUACCGGGAGCGGAUUCCCUGAGGUCCGCCUAAUGUUUGGUUGUGGAUCUCUGCAUCUGUUUCCAUCUGUUGCUGGAUGAAGCCUCUCUGAUGACAGUUGGGCUAGGCACCAAUCUCCAGGAGCCAGAGGCGCCACACAUCAAAAGGUGGUUUUGAAGGGGCUGCCCCCAUCACUCCUAAUGACCUCCAGUGACAUUUUGUGUGUCCACCCUGCAACUUUGGGUUUCCCUGGUUUUGAAGUCCUGGUUCUCAUGGAAUUCACAGAAGAAGAAAUGCACAUGUUCAUGUCUGUGCUUUCCAUCAACCCAGCUGGCGGAGAACCUUCAGGGUUGGAGAAAUGCCACUCCCCACCUCACAGAAAGGGGAAACUGAGGCUUGGAGACAAAGUGCACUUUGAACAUAGAGAUGAGGUGGAACGGGGACUCCGGUAUUGUGCCCACCCUGCUGCUCUGUGGCUAAAGAAUGCUGCCUUUCUCCAGAUGGUGAUUAAUAACUAACUUGCGCCUUGCCCUCUGCGGCGGCCCCUCCCAGAAGACUGGGGUUGUUUUCUUAUCUAAAUAAACUGCACAAACAUGGCCUCAUCCAUUACUCAUGUUGUUGCCAUCAAACCCAUGGGCUUCAGACAUGCAUGUUACAUACCAGCCCAGGGCAAUGGAGUUUUAGACCCUGACAGCAAAACUCAAAGUCUCUUUCCUUGGUACCCCAUCUGCUUAUUG
rnacentral:lncRNA from 1 species